rnacentral:tRNA from 1 species
GCGAGCGUGGCGGAACUGGUAGACGCACUGGAUUUAGAUUCCAGCGGGGUGACCCGUGGGGGUUCGAGUCCCCCCGCUCGCACCA